rnacentral:rRNA from 1 species
UACAGAGGGGGCAAGCGUUGUUCGGAAUUACUGGGCGUAAAGGGCGCGUAGGCGGCCGCCUAAGUCAGACGUGAAAUCCCUCGGCUCAACCGGGGAACUGCGUCUGAUACUGGGUGGCUUGAAUUCGGGAGAGGGAUGCGGAAUUCCAGGUGUAGCGGUGAAAUGCGUAGAUAUCUGGAGGAACACCGGUGGCGAAGGCGGCAUCCUGGACCGGGAUUGACGCUGAGGCGCGAAAGCCAGGGGAGCAAACGGG